rnacentral:rRNA from 1 species
GUCCACGCCCUAAACGAUGUCAACUGGUUGUUGGAAGGGUUCCCUUUCAGUAACGAAGCUAACGCGUGAAGUUGACCGCCUGGGGAGUACGGCCGCAAGGUUGAAACUCAAAGGAAUUGACGGGACCCGCACAAGCGGUGGAUGAUGUGGUUUAAUUCGAUGCAACGCGAAAACCUUACCUACCCUUGACAUGUCUGGAAUUCUACAGAGAUGUGGAAGUGCUCGAAAGAGAACCAGAACACAGGUGCUGCAUGGCCGUCGU